rnacentral:rRNA from 1 species
UGGGGAAUAUUGGACAAUGGGCGCAAGCCUGAUCCAGCCAUGCCGCGUGAGUGAUGAAGGCCUUAGGGUUGUAAAGCUCUUUUAGCGGGGAAGAUAAUGACGGUACCCGCAGAAAAAGCCCCGGCUAACCUCGUGCCAGCAGCCGCGGUAAUACGAAGGGGGCUAGCGUUGCUCGGAAUUACUGGGCGUAAAGCGCACGUAGGCGGACUCUUAAGUCGGUGGUGAAAUCCUGGAGCUCAACUCCAGAACUGCCUUCGAUACUGGGAGUCUUGAGUUCGGGAGAGGUGAGUGGAACUGCGAGUGUAGAGGUGAAAUUCGUAGAUAUUCGCAAGAACACCGGUGGCGAAGGCGGCUCACUGGCCCGAUACUGACGCUGAGGUGCGAAAGCGUGGGGAGCAAACA